GGGGAUGUAGCUCAGUGGCUGAACACUUGCCUAACAUGCAUGAAUCUCUGGAUUCAAUCCCCAGCACUACCA
rnacentral:tRNA from 1 species